rnacentral:rRNA from 1 species
CGCGAAUGGCUCAUUACAACAGCUAACAAAUCUACUUGAUCUUGACACAAUCCUACUUGGAUAACUGUGGUAAUUCUAGAGCUAAUACAUGCAUUAAAGCUCUGACCUUCGGGGAAGAGUGCAUUUAUUAGAACAAAACCAAGCGGCUUCGGCUGUUUUCGGUUGACUCAUAGUAACUGAGCUGAUCGCAUGGUCUUGCACCGGCGACGUGUCUUUCGAGUAUCUGCCGUAUCAACUUUCGAUGGUAGUGUAUCUGACUACCAUGGUGAUCACGCGUAACGGAGAAUAAGGGUUCGACUCCGGAGAGUUCGCCUGAGAAAUCGCGAACACAUCUAAGGAAGGCAGCAGGCGCGAAAAUUACCCACUCUCAGCACGAGGAGGUAGUGACGAAAAAUAACGAGACCGUUCUCUUAUGAGGCCGGUCAUCGGAAUGGGUACAAUUUAAACCCUUUAACGAGUAUCUAUGAGAGGGCAAGUCUGGUGCCAGCAGCCGCGGUAAUUCCAGCU